GUUGGAACUGGAUGAUCUUUAAGGACCCUUCCAACUGUAAUGUUCAAACCAUUCUACGAUUCUCUGAAGUCACAGCAUCCCAUCAUCCAGAGCAUCCCACCACGGCACCAGCCUGGGGCAGCUCCCCAUGACCUAUGGGACUUCCCCUGCUCCCGAAACCACCGGGGUUGAGCAAAUCGGGGGCUGGAGGGAGGGUAUUUCCUGCAAAUGAGGCAGAUUAUACUUUCCCAUGGUGUACUUUUCAGCCGAGGGCCAAGAAGGGAAGAGCAGCGUGGCUUCCCCUAUCUGCUGCCACCACAGGAAGCUCCAAGCAACCCGUAGGGCUUGGUCUUUAGGGAAGUUGGUUGUUGGAGGCAGUUUCAGCACUUCCAGGAGCAACUUGGCCUGAAAAAACCCUCGGCGGAGGGGAGGAACCCAGCCCGGCCUCCGAGGUGGCCCAUUGCCCACCUCAGGGACAAGGUUGGUUCCAUCCCAUCUCGUUCCAGGUCUGGAAAUUGGCCCCGAGGGGUGGGAGAGGAGGGUUCUCCCUCCGUUGCCCGCGUGGGACGUUUGGGAAGCCUCAUCCCGUGUUUUCCCAGCGCCAUCGUGAUGAAUUGGCAGAGUGGAAGCUGUCUUGACCUUUAGAUGUUUCUAAAUAAAAAAAGAAAAACAAACAGGAUGGGUCAGGUGAGUGAAAUGCAGCUUUUGCCCUGUCAUGGCCGGAAUCAUGUAUUUUUAUUCCCCCCCCUUUGCUGCAGGUUGACAGCAUCUGCCAAAAACGAGGCUUCUGCUCCGCUUGGACAAAGGACGUUUCUGCCUUGACUGUACCCGUGGUCAAUGAUUAACUGGAAUUCUCAGUCCCCUCAGCCCGGGCAGUGCAGGAUGUGACUCCAAUCGGGCCACCAAAAAUGGGAAUCUCACUGGAGACAUCCUCAUUGACCACCUGCCCCACGGCGAUGCUCUCCGCACUGAAGAAGUUCUCCACUUGCAACGAGUGUCCUUCCUGGAAUGGGCUCCCUGAUAAAACAUGGAUUUCCAGUUAAGGAUGAAAUCUGGAAAUUGGAAUUAAAAAAAAUACCCACAGGAGUAUACUUUCUACCCCUAAACAUACUGGUUUCCAGUCAGCUUUCAAACGCUGCCCCUUCCCUCCUGGAGCAGGCUCAGUGUGGGAGGCUCAGCUGCGCGGUGAGAGUCAGAAACACACUAAAAGAUAACAAAUUGAAUUCCCAAUUCGACUCCUUCACUCAUUUCCCUUUUUUUUUCGGUUUUAAGAAGCUCCUUCCACUGCAAUUCCUUUUAUACCUUUCCUAAGAAAGCCCCCACGCCAGCUCAACCAAUCCCAAACCACCAUCAAACCAAGAUUAUUUCAGUAUUGGAAGAAACUUCAGUGGAUUAGAACUUUUUUCCGCUUUUUCGUUAACAAAAAUAACAACACUGGGAGUCCACGCUGCCCGUUUGUGAGGCUUGGAAGCCCCUGGGCUUUUAUUCCAGGUGUGGAAUGUGACAGUGACCUGGAAUAAUCCCCUUUGCCAGCUGAGUGAGGCACUAAAAGGUUAAAUAUUGCCCGUGGACCUACAGAGCAGAGAGAAGCACUGUUUGAAUGAAUGCUACAUCUGAGCACGACUGCCCAGGUAAGGAAACACAAAUAGUACCAUUUCCUACCAUUUCUCUCCUCUUUGGGGUGAAAGCAGAGCAACCGGUUGGUUUUCAUCAAGUCCUAAACUUUGGGACACCCUCAGUCAGGUCCCUCCUGGAAGGACUCUCGAAGCCCAGCAAGUUCUUGGCUGCAGUCUCAUGUCACAACCACACUCAACACCUCUAACCAUCUUCAUGACCUUUUCAUCCUUUCCCACCACUCCCACCUUUAGGAGGAACCCAUCAGGUUGGGGAAUACUCCAGAUAAGCAUAAACUCCUUUCUAUCAUCUAACAGAUCCUACAGAUUUUGGUAGCCUUUUCCAAAAACCACCAAAAAAAAACCCAAAUAGAUUCAACACCGAGUUGAAGGUGUUUACCUUGAACCAGAUCACCAAAUCACAGAAUAUCUCCAGUUGGAAGGGACCUAUAAGGACCAUGGAGUCCCCCAUAAAUCUUUAAAGUCACUUUCAAGCUCACAGCUUCUUUUUUCUGGGUUAAUAAAGCAGAUUCCCAUUUUUUCUCUCA
rnacentral:lncRNA from 1 species